CUUUUGCUGGCGACCGGCGCACGGGUGAGUAACACGUAUCCAGCCUGCCCUUUACUCGGGGAUAGCCUUUCGAAAGAAAGAUUAAUACCCGAUAGUAUAAUGAUUCCGCAUGGUUUCAUUAUUAAAGGAUUCCGGUAAAGGAUGGGGAUGCGUUCCAUUAGGUUGUUGGUGAGGUGACGGCUCACCAAGCCUUCGAUGGAUAGGGGUUCUGAGAGGAAGGUCCCCCACAUUGGAACUGAGACACGGUCCAA
rnacentral:rRNA from 1 species